rnacentral:rRNA from 1 species
AGGGGGACUGAGAGGUCAACCCCCCCACAUUGGUACUGAGACACGGACCAAACUCCUACGGGAGGCAGCAG